CUGUCACGAGCUGGAGCCAAAACAUAGCCAGAGGUGCAGAUGAACUGGAGAUGCAAUGAGCUGGAGAUGUCCAGGAAACUUCCAGGUCUGGAGACAUCCACAAGCUGGAGCAGUAAAUGAGCUGGAGAAGUCCAGGGCUAACUGAUCAGUAAUUGCAAACUAGUUAGACAGUAUCCAUACAGCGUACAACGGUGACUUUCAAUGUUCAUGUUACAACA